rnacentral:tRNA from 1 species
UAGCUCAGUGGUAGAGCACUUGCCUAGCAUGCUUGAGGCCCUGGGUUCCAUCCCCAG